UUACUAUGUUUUACUCCAUGUUAAUCUAGUUAAUGUACUAAUGUAAUAAUACAUGAUGAUGAUGAUGAUGAUGAUCAACUUUCCAAUUACAAUUUAGGUUUUAUUUUUUUUACUUCUUUAAAUUGAUUUUUUCUCUUGUGAUGAAACUCUUGUUAAUUGGUAACUUUGAAUGUUUAAUGAUUGGAUACACAUAAUAAAUGGAUACUUUGGAUUCGCGUGGCAAAAGGUUAACCAUAGGUAAAUUUGGAGAAACAAAUUAACCAUUUUCAACAUUAUCUCUUCCACUCCACCCCAAGAUCACCACCAUCACCACCACACCAAAGGAAACCUGUUGUUUUCUCCUCAUCUUGUUCGUUUUUUUUUCUCUCUCUCUCAAAUGUUUAUUAGAAAAUGAUGAUGAUGAUGAUGAUGUUGAUUCGCUCUGUGAAUUUUAACAUUAUUAUCUUGCCGUUAUCCAAAUGCUGUUCUUUGCUCAUCAUCAUCAUCUACUUUUUCUAUAUCUACUCUUUUCCCUAUCAUAAUCACCAUCUUCUUAAUAUUUAUCUUCUCCUUAUUAUCUUUCUCUAUCUCUAUCUUAUAUAUAGUUUUUUAAUACCUUCUCCUGUUAUUAUUAUGCCUUAAUUAUCUUGAUGCUUGAUUCCUAAUUGAAAGGUUCAUUGAUUAUCCAUCUACGAUUCAACCCACUAACCACAGGAACCACAAGAGUAACAGCAACAACACCACAACAACAACAAUGUUAUCGUUGAUUCUCGUAGUUAGUUAGUUAACUAAUCAACUACACACAAUCAAUAUGAUGAUGAUUAUCAAUAUAAGAUGAUGUCCAAGACCAUUUGGUUGUUGUUGGCUCCUUCUAAAGGUCAAAGGCAAGGUUAACACGGUCAAUCAGACACGUUUAAUGUUAAAGAUUAUCAUCAUCAUCCUCAUCAUCUCUUGAACGUGCCCCAAAAAAAACAACAACAACAACCACGGGAAAAGGCUUGACAGUCCAGUCUAUUUAAGCUACCGAACUACUUUAUGUAAGGCUUUAAAAACGGAAACGACAACGAAGAUAAUUAGAUCUGUUUGAUGUGUGUAGUUAACUGGUAAACAUUAUCAAUCUAAUGUCAUGUAAUCAUUGAUUGUUAAACUUUAACUAAUGAUAUUGAUGAUGUUUGGUAAUUUCUUUGACCAUGUAAUUACUGAUUACUUUUGAUUAUUUUUAGUUUGCAUCAUCAGUUACACUCAUCUGAUUGUUGUUGUUGUUUUUGUUGAUCUACAUAUUAUUAUUAGACUUGCAAACAUUAAUCGGAAGUUGUUGUUACAAUCAUUACGAUGUUUAAUUUUAUACUAUUAUCACCAUCAUCUAAACAAAAAGACCUUAAAAUUGUUUCCGUUUUUUGUUAAAUUACUGAUGAUCAUUUUUAAUCAUCAGCUAAUCAUUUUGUUUGUUACUCUUAUUGUUUAACGGUUAAUCGAUGGCCCAUAUCAAUGAGAUCUCUGCCUUUUCUGUGAACUUUAAUCUCUUACCAAAUUUGGAUCCAUUUAAAUAAACGGAGGAACCAAAGUGAUUCAUAUAUAUAUAAUAUUAAUACAAUAUAAUGCAAACAAUCAACAAUCAACCGUGAGAAUAUUGUCUCUUGCUAUCAUCAUUAUCAUCUUUCUCAUCCCAUCUUCAUCCACUCUCUCUCUCUCUCUAUGGUUAUAAUAUUAUCGGUAUCCAUCAUCAACCACCUCCACCUCCUCCAUCAUAAUGGAUUCAUCAGAUUAAUUCAUCUGUAAAUUUAGAUAUUGUUAACUAUUUUUUUUCUAACUCAAAAGACUAACCCUGAUUAAGGUAAUUAGUUAACUAAUAAUUCAUUUGAACAGUCAAGACUUUUGGAUUAUUUUUCCCAACAACUAUUAUCUUGUCUUUUAAUUGUUAAUCGUUUUUCGUUGUAACUAUUCAAUUGGUGAUGGUGGAUUAAGAUAAUGGAAGUAUUAUCCUUCAUUCUCAUAGAAUUUUCUUCUUUAAAGUGAAAGAGAAUUGAGAUUAUCAAAGGAGAAAAGAGACAAAGUUUAUUCUUUUUUUUCGUCACUUGUUUUGCUCGAACAUUUUUACACUCUUUUCAAUUCUUUUUCUUAAAUGUAACAGGUUGAAAAGGAACACAAAGGUUACAAAAAGGCUCGAAGCAAUUUCGAAUAACUUUUUUUCUCUCCAAAGAACAAAAAAAGAAAACAAGUUGAUAUCUUCGAAUGUUAAUUGUCUCUGUUGGAUUAUCUUCUUUAUCUUCUUGUGGCCGCAUCAUUUUCUUAGAGAUAAAUUGGUUAAUGAGAGUAUAAGUUUCUACAAGUGACCAAAGGAAAGGACCGAGAAUGACAGACAACAAAUACAAUGACCAUUGCAAGAAAAAAAAAACGAGAGCAAAUGAAAGAGUAUUUUCCUUGGUCUUUCUCUUGUUAUUAUUGUGUCUCAAUGACCAGGCACACGAGGUCAUCAGAUUGUUAAAGGUCAACCCAAGGAAAAGGAUAAACAGUUAAAAUGUUGCAGACUUCAAACUCUUUUGGUUAACAGAGUAAAAUGAGAGAGGUAAAUUCCGUGGCACGCGCCAAUUGUGCACGUUAUUAACCAUCUUACCUUUUGCAUUACCAGUUAUGAAGGGGGAAGUGGUAUUGAUGAGGUAAAGUACGGAACGCGGGUGAGUAUGGAUAGAGAGAAAUUGACGAAAUAAAAAAAAACAAUAAAAACACCUUUUUUUCUUCUUUCUGACCGAUGAUGACCCAGUUCGACAUGGAAACUUCUGUCUCUUUUACAUCACAUUUCCUCACCUCCCACCACCAUAACCUUUCACCUCUGAUCACUUUGUCUUGUUCAUCCUUUACCUCCGAUGUAAAUCCUUUGUUUACAAUCUAAUCGGAAGCUAAAUCGCUCAUUGAAAUGAUAAACACAAUCAAUUGGCAGUGAUGCAAACAAAAAGAAAAGGUAUUAGAUCAUUUUUGUUCAGCUUCUCAUCAACUUUAACUAAUAUAACAUUAACCUUAAUCGAUAACGAUGAUAAUAACUGAUGAAGAUGAAUAUAACUGCUGUUAUGAUCACUGAGAGACCUGAUUACUGGCCGAUGAUUAGGACGAAGAUGAUCACCGAUCGAUCAUAGUUUUCUAUCGACAAAGAGAUGAUCCAUUUUUGUCCCGUGAUGAUCAUCAGGAAAUGUUGCAAAGAUGAAACAUGUUAUUACAUAAAUAGAAAUGAUAUGAUAAUCAUUUGCUCACCUUUUCCCAAGAUGAUUCCCUGUAAACUAUAACACCAACAACAACAACAAUUGGAUGAUAAUGAUGACCUAUGAAUUAAAUUAAACCAGUCAAGUCCUUAUGUUAACGGGGUGACCUGGGAACCUCAACAAGGAAAAAAAGAUGAUGAGGAUAAAGAUGAAGAUGGGAUCGGUCUGUCUUUAUUUCUCUCUCUCUCUCUCUCUCUCUGGAAAUGACCCUUAGGUGAUCAAUCAGCAAUCUAAGGUGAAUGUAAGAAAAGUCUUGAUAGCGGUUUUGUUACCUGUAACUUUCUUUACUUCCCUUUACCUUUACACUUAAGGUCAUCUUUAAAAUGUUACCUUUACUCUUGGCUAAUAAUAUGUAAUAAUCACAAUGACGAUGAUGAUGAUAUGUAUUAUUAUUAGCUGAAUAUGCUAAUCAUUUGGUAAUAUUUUUGCUUCCCUGUUUAACAAUCAAUUGAAUGUUAGUUAAGUGGGAACAGGAAGAAAUAUAUAUUCAAGUGAUUCCAAUUUAAAUAACAAUUUAAUCUUGGUGGUCAAAAUAGUGUUCAUUUUAAAUUAGAACAAAUUUUUCUCUUAACUUUUCAAUUUUCUCAAUAUAAGUGUUGAUACAACUUCGAUAUUUGAUCUCGAGUUAACCAAAACUCCAUAAAUAUAUCUGACCUAUGAUAUACUGUAA